CAAGACCGGCUCCGCUGAGGCUCCGCCGGCCGCCAGGUAUCCGCUCAGCGCAGGGCGCGGCGGACCUGCGGGCCGUGGGAACCGCUGGGCAGUGGCAGCGAGGCCCCUCACCUGUCUCUGGGGCCCCCCGGGGACGACCGGACCCCGAUCUCUGCGCCCCGCAGGACGCGCGUUGACGGUCGCCCGUGUGCAGCGCCACCAUCCCGGCCGCUCUUCCAAUCUCGCCUUUCUCCGG
rnacentral:lncRNA from 1 species